UGUCAUGUGACCCCGCCUAAGAGUCCUAUCCCUUUACUGUCGGAUCUCUAACCUCGUCACCCAACUUGUUUACUCGCUUACCGACUUGCUGCGGGCGAGUGGAAGGAAUAAUAACACAGCCCCUGUUCCCUCCGCCAUCCCUCCAAGGAUUGAUAAAGCAGCUCUGGACACAAUGCAUGGCGUCGGAGGAGGUGCUCAGCGUGCGCUUUGGAGGAAGGCCAGCACGGCUGCAGCGGUGGCGGUGGAAAGUGGUAUUUGAAUGGCAUCUGGUCUAUGGUGAUAUUAAAGUCUGUUCUGGGAGGUCUUUUUUCUUGGCCCUGCAUGCUGAUUAGUAGCUUUGAAGCAAGACAAUACAUGUGCAAUCCUUGAUCGUCUGUAUUUAUUAAUCCUUUGAUUUGAAGUGUAUGUAUUAACAAUAAGAUUGGAUUUUGUCAUAAAGC
ensembl:lncRNA